AUUGAACGCUGGCGGCAGGCCUAACACAUGCAAGUAGAACGAGUGGCGGACGGGUGAUUAAUUUCUGGGAAACUGCCUGAUGGAGGGGGAUAACUACUGAAAACGGUAGCUAAUAACGCAUACCAUCAGAUUUGCCCAGAUGGGAUUAGCUAGUUGUUUGGGUAACGGCUAACAAAGGCGACGAUCCCUAGCUGGUCUGAGAGGAUGACCAGCCACACUGGAACUGAGACACGGUCCAGACUCCUACGGGAGGCAGCAGUGGGGAAUAUUGCACAAUGGGCGCAAGCCGUAUGCAGCCAUGCCGCGUGUAUUAAGAAGGCCUUCGGGUUGUAAAGUACUUUCAGCGGGGAGGCGUUACCCGCAGAAGAAGCACCGGCUAACUCCGUGCCAGCAGCCGCGGUAAUAC
rnacentral:rRNA from 1 species